UGAGUAACGCGUGGGUAACCUGCCUCAUACAGGGGGAUAACAGUUAGAAAUGACUGCUAAUACCGCAUAAGCGCACAGUGCUGCAUGGCACAGUGUGAAAAACUCCGGUGGUAUGAGAUGGACCCGCGUCUGAUUAGCUAGCUGGUGGGGUAACGGCCUACCAAGGCGACGAUCAGUAGCCGGCCUGAGAGGGUGAACGGCCACAUUGGGACUGAGACACGGCCCAAACUCCUACGGGAGGCAGCAUG
rnacentral:rRNA from 1 species